UAUCUCCCGGUUUUUUAUUAUAUGUUCGAGAUUGAAAUACGAAAUGCUAUUGUUUUUGCCUAUGAUGUAUAUGCUUGACAUGUUUUGCAUUUAGUUUUUUGAUGGACAUGGACUCAGAUUACGGAUAUUACUAUAGGUUGUAGUCGGUUGGUAUUUAGGGUCAGUAUUAGAUCAUAUUUCCUAUCCAUAGGUCAAUCUCUUUUGUUCCUGUUCUGCUUCAAUAUCAGAAUUUCUCGUGAUAGUAUUGUAGCACUCCUUUUCUUUCCUAGUUUUGGUGAAUGAGGUUCGUUUCCCCCCAUUUUAUAUGGCUUUAUAUGGACCUAAAAAGACCUCUUAAGUUCGAUAUUCAGCCCUUUGGCCGUUGCAGUGUUUGAGGUUCUCGGGAUAUUCUCGGUUUGCUAUUUGAAGGAAGUGUGUUUAACAACAUGAUUUGAGUAACAAAGUUCGAAGAGACCUCUUUGCAUAACUUUCUUGUUAUUGCACUUUUUCUUUCUUAAAAUCAUGUACUUAGUGAACCAAAUAUAUACAGUUUUUAUAACCCCUAGCUGCUGUUUCUUGUAUGAGACAAAAAAAAAAGUAUAGUAGCAGAAAUUUUUUUCUUUAUUAGAUAGAUAAUGGAAACAACAACAUUGCAGAGAGUGUUUAUAUUUUGGAUUUCCACAUUUUAACCCAAUUGCAUUGAGCUUCUUCCAAUCCCAGCAAAGAGCCCUUCUUCUUCGGGUCUUAACUAAGCAAUCCUAAGCAUUGAUGCCCCAAAUGUAAUGAACGUAGUCAAGAAUGGCAGCCACAAUGGCACAUCCCACAAGUUUCUCUCUUUCGCUACACCAAAUAGCGUUUUCUUUCAUGGUAGCCUGUGGUGUGCCGGGAAAUCCUUCGGCGUUGGCCUGAAGUUUCCGUGUUGAUGAGGGUUGGUUUUAUUUCUGGGUUUUGAUGAUUGUAGGAAGGAUUGUUGGGGAUAUUGAAUCCCAUGAAGAAAGCUUUGGAAGGUAUUGUAAGUUAUACUAGUGAAGUGCAGAAUGAAGAUAAUAUUUUUCUUUCAAAAUUAUAUAGUAAUCUUAUAUCAAUGUAAAA